CGAGUGGGCCGGGUGGUCGCGUGGCGCACACUCCUGUUCGCCAUGAGGAAAGUCCGGACUCCACAGAGCACGAUGCUGGGCAACACCCAGGCGAGGCGACUCGACGGCAAGUGCAACAGAGAGCAGGUCGCCGCCACGGUCCUGUGCCCCGCCGUAGGGGGGUACUUGUGCCGCGCGGUAAGAGUGAAACGGUGGUGUAAGAGACCACCGGCGGUCCAGGUGACUGGGCCGGCCAGGCAAACCCCAUCGGGAGCAAGACCAAGCAAGAGGUAGAUGACGUGCGGUUUCGACCCACGUCCUCGCGGGUUGCUCGCCCGUCUCCUCGGGUAGGUCGCCUGAGACACCGAGCAAUCGGUGCCCUAGAUAGAUGGCCACCACCUCGCCACGGCGAGGGACAGAAUUCGGCUUACAGGCCCACUCAUCCC
rnacentral:RNase_P_RNA from 1 species